rnacentral:rRNA from 1 species
UACGUAGGGGGCAAGCGUUGUCCGGAUUUAUUGGGCGUAAAGAGCGUGUAGGCGGCCAGGUAGGUCUGCUGUGAAAACUCGAGGCUCAACCUCGAGACGUCGGCGGAAACCAUCUGGCUAGAGUCCGGAAGAGGAGAGUGGAAUUCCGGGUGUAGCGGUGGAAUGCGUAGAGAUCCGGAAGAACACCGGUGGCGAAGGCGGCCUGCUGGGCAGUAGCUGACGCUGAAGCGCGACAGCGUGGGGAGCAAACAGG